GACGAACGCUGGCGGCGUGCUUAACACAUGCAAGUCGAACGGUGAAGCGCCUUCCUUUUUGGUGGGUGGGGAGGAGUGGCGAAGGGGGGAGCAACAGGAGAGUAACCUGCCCCCUUCGUCAGGAUAACCGCAUGAAAGUGUGGCUAAUACGGGAUAUUCUGGGUCUGUCGCAUGAUGGGUCAGGGAAGGAUAUUGUUUCGGUGGGGGAUGGGCUCGCGGUCGAUCAGCUUGUUGGUGGGGUGAUGGCCUACCAAGGCGGUGACGGCUCGCCGGCCUGGGAGGGUGGCCGGCCACAGAGGGACAGCGGCCCCGUCGAGACUACUACGGGAGGCAGCAGUGGGGAGUAUUGAACAGUGGGCAGCAUGCUGAUGCAGCGACGCCGCGUGAGGGAUGGAGGCCUGCGCGUUGUGAACCUCUUUCGCGAGUGAAGCAGUCUUGCCUCGUUUGUGGGUGGGUUGACGGUAGCUGGAUAAGAAGCGCCGGCUAACUACGUG
rnacentral:rRNA from 1 species